CGACCUCAGAGCAGGCGAGACUACCCGCUGAAUUUAAGCAUAUUACUAAGCGGAGGAAAAGAAACUAACAAGGAUUCCCCCAGUAGCGGCGAGCGAACAGGGAAGAGUCCAGCACCGAACCCCGCAGGCUGCCGCCUGUCGUGGCAUGUGGUGUUUGGGAGGGUCCACUACCCCGACGCCUCGCGCCGAGCCCAAGUCCAACUUGAAUGAGGCCACGGCCCGUAGAGGGUGCCAGGCCCGUAGCGGCCGGUGCGAGCGUCGGCGGGACCUCUCCUUCGAGUCGGGUUGCUUGAGAGUGCAGCUCCAAGUGGGUGGUAAACUCCAUCUGAGACUAAAUAUGACCACGAGACCGAUAGCGAACAAGUACCGUGAGGGAAAGUUGAAAAGAACUUUGAAGAGAGAGUUCAAAAGUACGUGAAACCGUUCUGGGGUAAACGUGAGAAGUCCGAAAGGUCGAACGGGUGAGAUUCACGCCCAUCCGGCCACUGGCCUCCGCCCUCGGCAGAUGGGGCCGGCCGCCCGCGCGGAGCAAUCCGCGGCGGGGUCGUGUCCGGUUGCCUUUCCACUCGCCGCGGGGUGGGGCCGUUCCGGUGUGCGGUGGGCCGCACUUCUCCCCUAGUAGGACGUCGCGACCCGCUGGGUGCCGGCCUACGGCCCGGGUGCGCAGCCUGUCCUUCCGCGGGCCUCGGUUCGCGUCUGUUGGGCAGAGCCCCGGUGUCCUGGCUGGCUGCCCGGCGGUAUAUCUGGAGGAGUCGAUUCGCCCCUUUGGGCGCUCGGGCUCCCGGCAAGCGCGCGCGGUUCUUCCCGGAUGACGGACCUACCUGGCCCGGCCCCGGACCCGCGCCGCUGUUGGCUCGGGAUGCUCUCGGGCGGAAUAAUCGCUCCCGUCAGCGGCGCUUCAGCUUUGGACAAUUUCACGACCCGUCUUGAAACACGGACCAAGGAGUCUAACAUGUGCGCGAGUCAUUGGGCUGUACGAAACCUAAAGGCGUAAUGAAAGUGAAGGUCUCGCCUUGCGCGGGCCGAGGGAGGAUGGGGCUUCCCCGCCCUUCACGGGGCGGCGGCCUCCGCACUCCCGGGGCGUCUCGUCCUCAUUGCGAGGUGAGGCGCACCUAGAGCGUACACGUUGGGACCCGAAAGAUGGUGAACUAUGCCUGGCCAGGACGAAGUCAGGGGAAACCCUGAUGGAGGUCCGUAGCGAUUCUGACGUGCAAAUCGAUCGUCGGAGCUGGGUAUAGGGGCGAAAGACUAAUCGAACCAUCUAGUAGCUGGUUCCCUCCGAAGUUUCCCUCAGGAUAGCUGGUGCUCGUACGAGUCUCAUCCGGUAAAGCGAAUGAUUAGAGGCCUUGGGGCCGAAACGACCUCAACCUAUUCUCAAACUUUAAAUGGGUGAGAUCUCCGGCUUGCUUGAUAUGCUGAAGCCGCGAGCAAACGACUCGGAUCGGAGUGCCAAGUGGGCCACUUUUGGUAAGCAGAACUGGCGCUGUGGGAUGAACCAAACGCCGAGUUAAGGCGCCCGAAUCGACGCUCAUGGGAAACCAUGAAAGGCGUUGGUUGCUUAAGACAGCAGGACGGUGGCCAUGGAAGUCGGAAUCCGCUAAGGAGUGUGUAACAACUCACCUGCCGAAGCAACUAGCCCUGAAAAUGGAUGGCGCUGAAGCGUCGUGCCUAUACUCGGCCGUCAGUCUGGCAGUCAUGGCCGGUCCUUGCGGCCGGCCGCGAAGCCCUGACGAGUAGGAGGGUCGCGGCGGUGGGCGCAGAAGGGUCUGGGCGUGAGCCUGCCUGGAGCCGCCGUCGGUGCAGAUCUUGGUGGUAGUAGCAAAUACUCCAGCGAGGCCCUGGAGGGCUGACGCGGAGAAGGGUUUCGUGUGAACAGCCGUUGCACACGAGUCAGUCGAUCCUAAGCCCUAGGAGAAAUCCGAUGUUGAUGGGGGCCGUCAUAGCAUGAUGCGCUUUGUGCUGGCCCCCGUUGGGCGAAAGGGAAUCCGGUUCCUAUUCCGGAACCCGGCAGCGGAACCGAUACAAGUCGGGCCCCUCUUUUAGAGAUGCUCGUCGGGGUAACCCAAAAGGACCCGGAGACGCCGUCGGGAGAUCGGGGAAGAGUUUUCUUUUCUGCAUGAGCGUUCGAGUUCCCUGGAAUCCUCUAGCAGGGAGAUAGGGUUUGGAACGCGAAGAGCACCGCAGUUGCGGCGGUGUCCCGAUCUUCCCCUCGGACCUUGAAAAUCCGGGAGAGGGCCACGUGGAGGUGUCGCGCCGGUUCGUACCCAUAUCCGCAGCAGGUCUCCAAGGUGAAGAGCCUCUAGUCGAUAGAAUAAUGUAGGUAAGGGAAGUCGGCAAAUUGGAUCCGUAACUUCGGGAUAAGGAUUGGCUCUGAGGAUCGGGGCGUGUCGGGCUUGGUCGGGAAGUGGGUCAGCGCUAACGUGCCGGGCCUGGGCGAGGUGAGUGCCGUAGGGGUGCCGGUAAGUGCGGGCGUUUAGCGCGGGCGUGGUCUGCUCUCGCCGUUGGUCGGCCUCGUGCUGGCCGGCGGUGCAGGAUGCGCGCGCCUGCGCGGCGUUCGCGCCCCGGUGCUUCAACCUGCGUGCAGGAUCCGAGCUCGGUCCCGUGCCUUGGCCUCCCACGGAUCUUCCUUGCUGCGAGGCCGCGUCCGCCUUAGCGUGCUCCUCCGGGGGCGCGCGGGUGCGCGGAUUCUCUUCGGCCGCCAUUCAACGAUCAACUCAGAACUGGCACGGACUGGGGGAAUCCGACUGUCUAAUUAAAACAAAGCAUUGCGAUGGCCCUAGCGGGUGUUGACGCAAUGUGAUUUCUGCCCAGUGCUCUGAAUGUCAACGUGAAGAAAUUCAAGCAAGCUUGGGUAAACGGCGGGAGUAACUAUGACACUCUUAGUGUAGCCAAAUGCCUCGUCAUCUAAUUAGUGACGCGCAUGAAUGGAUUAACGAGAUUCCCGCUGUCCCUAUCUACCAAGUGAUAAUCCAAAUUCUGAUAAUGAAUACCAGUCGCUUUUGAGACUAAAAAUGGAAGAAGACUAUCCAGAUGAGGGUGUGGUUAUUCCGUUUGCACAGGAGGAGGUGGGCAAUGCCAUUGAUUCCUUGAAGAAAAAUAAAUCUCCUGGAAUAGAUAAAAUAACUACAGAAACAUUACAGAACCUUAAAAUGCUAAUUGUACCGUAUUUGACAGCCUUGCUGAAUGAGUGUCUCCUGCAAGGAAGGGUACCAAAGGUGUGGAAGGUUGCUGAGGCAAUUAUUAUCAAAAAGGGGGAGGAUAGAGAUCCGAAAUUUGCGAAGAGCUACCGCCCAAUAUGUUUGCUGAACACUAUGGGGAAGGUCCAGGAACGACUCUUAUGUGGACGCUUACGCGACCACAGGGAGCUUCUCGGCCUUCACCAGUGCCAGUAUGGUUUCCGACCAGGUAAAUCUAUAGAUGACGCAGUCAACCAGGCACUAGGAAUGGUCUCCAAUACAUUGGCGAAAUAUGCAAUCGGCGUGACAAUUGAUAUACAAGGUGCAUUUGACAAUCUUUUUUGGCCCUCCCUGUUUGCUAGAUUGCGUGAAUUGAGAACCCCCAAGUGUCUGUAUUUGAGCUUGCUUGAUUAUUGUAAAGAUCGAACAGUUAAGUGGAUUGCGCCAGAACAUACAAUUACUAGGCAUGUUACUAAAGGAUGUCCUCAGGGCUCCAUUUGUGGUCCUAUAUUUUGGGACAUUUUUACAGAACCCCUCUUAGAGUUGCUGAAUAACAGUGAAAAUGUAGCCGGUGUAAUAGCUUACGCCGAUGAUUUGUUUGUGAUUAUAACAGGAGAUUCUAGAAAUUCUAUAGAGACAAGAGCUAACAUAAUGCUUAAUUUAGUAAGUCAGUGGUGUGCUUGUAACAAACUGCAAGUGGCUGUUAACAAAACAAAAUACAUGUUACUUAAAGGGAAAUUAUCAGCAGGAAGAGGACCCUCUAUAAAACUGCAAGAUACUCCAAUCAGUCGCGAAGCCAUUUGUAGAUAUCUUGGACUGUAUCUAGAUGAGGGUUUGAACUUUGGAGCACAUAUCAAACAAGUGUGUGAGAAGGCUAUGAGUCUCAUGAAUAAGAUUUGUACAAUAGCGACUUCCAGCUAUAAAUUACCCCCUAAUGCUAUUAGAAUAUAUCAUGAAGCGAUAUUGUUAUCAAUCGUAUCUUUUGGGGCUAGUGUUUGGGCACAUAAGCUAAGACAGGUACGACCUGUGAGACACUUGAGAAGGAUGCAACGAAGUGUGCUCAUUAGGAUGACUGGUGCCUUCAGAACAACACCUACUGAGGCAUUAUUGGUGGUCUUAGGACUGUAUCCUGUAGACUUACAAAUCCGCCAAAGAGGAGCUAGGUACUGGCUUCGUAAGGGUGACUUAGGUAGAGUGGAAGCAAUUACAGGACAAAGAAUUGAGGACAAAAUCCAGCUAGCACGCUGGCUGGAUAGAGAAUGGCAAAUAGUGUGGGAUAAUACUGAUACUGGAAGACGAGUACAUAGGAUAUUUCCAGAUAUUAAAGAGAGGAAGCGAAUGCGACACAUAAAUGCAACAAAAGGAAUGAUUCACUUCUUAACUGGACACGGACCGUACCCUACCUACUUCUUAAAAAUAAAUAGUUCAGACCAUGAUAGAUGUGAAUGUGGUGCUGAGGGAGAUCCAGAACACAUGAUAUAUGGGUGUCAAAACAGUGAUUUCGAAUCUGACGAGCUAGAGAUGUUACGUGAUAAAACCGUUAAUGAAAUAGUUCGUGAUGAAAAGGCGUGUGAAAUAGUGUGUAAAUAUGCAGAUAGGUACUCAGUUAGGCAAAUGCGGGAGUAUACUAUUGCUGGAGGACGAGCAGCGCAGCACGCAGCACGAAGACUGGAACGCCAGCAGCAUGUGAAUCCAGGUGUUCAAGGUCCAGCAACAGCAACGAGAGCUCGGCGCGCGCUUUCUCCAGACACACUAGAUGCUGCCAGAGGAACCGCACCACCUGUGCCACCUAACAUCUAUAAUCGCCGUCGCUUUCUGUGGUAU